GACUGCUGUGGUCAGAUGGUAGGGCAUAUGACAUUGAUUCAUGAGGUCAUGGGUUCAAGACCCACCACAAUCU